UGCAAACUAUUGCCGUUUUGAAUACACGGAUGAUAAUCACAUAAACUAUAAAUGGUUAUGUCAAGUAUCAAUACACGGAUUGGGGCGUUCUAAUAUUGGUAUCGAGAGACUAAUAGAAACCAUGUUUCAGGGAAAUCUUGUUGAAAGUGGGUGUAUGCACGUUGACCUACAAGGGUACGUUCUUAGGGUGUUGGAACCUCGUUUGUUUAGAUGGGAGAGAUGCAGAAUGCAACUUCCGGAGAAUUGGUACAAUGACUUUUCUGGAUUCUUAUUCUUCACGUUUUUCUAUGACUAUCAUUGCCCGGAGAUAACUAUAAAGCACGAGAAGUUAGACGGUGGUUCGACGGAAUGGAGGAUUCUCAAGAUAACAGUGGUGUUGAUUUUCCGGAGCACAUAGAUUACGCACGCACAAGGUUGAUGUAUAUUUCAUUUGGUUCAUUGAGGAACACUUUAUGGUGGCAGGAUCAUCAAACAUCCACUUCCAUGGAUGUUCAAUUUGACCCACACAAUUGUAAUGUAUGUGGAUAUAAACUGAUUCCCAAGAGAAGUGAAACAAGUAUCACAGAUUCCUCCUCCUCCUCUUCCUUUGACGACGUUUAUACAUGUCGAUUGAAUAUCCUAGAAGAUUCCAAGUCUGCUUUAAAGUUUAACGUAGCUGUAAUUCAAGAUGGUGUAACCUUUUAUCCUAAAUAGUGAAACUUCACAAGAAGUUGAAUUCA